AAUAGAUACCCUGGUAGUCCACGCCGUAAACGAUGGAUGCUAGCUGUUAGGAGUAUCGACCCUCCUAGUAGCGUAGCUAACGCGUUAAGCAUCCCGCCUGUGGAGUACGGUCGCAAGACUAAAACAUAAAGGAAUUGACGGGGACCCGCACAAGCGGUGGAGCGUGUUGUUUAAUUCGAUGGUAAGCGAAGAACCUUACCCAGGCUUGACAUCCUGUUAAUCACUCCGAAAGGAGAGAGUGCCUUCGGGCCGCAGUGACAGGUGAUGCAUGGCCGUCGUCAGCUCGUGUCGUGAGAUGUUUGGUUAAGUCCAUCAACGAGCGCAACCCUUAUAGUUAGUUGUAUUUCUCUAGCUAGACUGCCCUGGUAACAGGGAGGAAGGAGGGGAUGAUGUCAGGUCAGUAUCUCCCUUACGUCUGGGGCUACAAACACGCUACAAUGGCCGGUACAAAGGGCAGCCAACCCGCGAGGGGAGCAAAUCCCAUCAAAGCCGGUCUCAGUUCGGAUUGCAGGCUGAAACUCG
rnacentral:rRNA from 1 species